CAAGGUGAAAACUAAUUGGCCUGAAGAAGAGCUUGCGUCUGAUUAGCUAGUUGGUGGGGUAAGAGCCUACCAAGGCGACGAUCAGUAGCUGGUCUGAGAGGAUGAGCAGCCACACUGGGACUGAGACACGGCCCAGACUCCUACGGGAGGCAGCAGUGGGGAAUUUUCCGCAAUGGGCGAAAGCCUGACGGAGCAACGCCGCGUGAGGGAGGAAGGUCUUUGGAUUGUAAACCUCUUUUCUCAAGGAAGAAGUUCUGACGGUACUUGAGGAAUCAGCCUCGGCUAACUCCGUGCCAGCAGCCGCGGUAAUACGGGGGAGGCAAGCGUUAUCCGGAAUUAUUGGGCGUAAAGCGUCCGCAGGUGGUCAGCCAAGUCUGCC
rnacentral:rRNA from 1 species